rnacentral:rRNA from 1 species
UGCCAGCCGCCGCGGUAACACGUAGGGGGCAAGCGUUGUUCGGAAUUACUGGGCGUAAAGGGUCCGCAGGCGGCCGUGCAAGUUGAGGGUGAAAUCCCCGGGCUCAACCCGGGAACUGCCUUCAAAACUGCGCGGCUUGAGUUCGGUAGAGGAAGAUGGAAUUCCCGGUGUAGCGGUGAAAUGCGUAGAUAUCGGGAAGAACACCAGCGGCGAAAGCGAUCUUCUGGGCCGAUACUGACGCUGAGGGACGAAAGCGUGGGGAGCAAACAGGAUUAGAUA